CCUACGGGUGGCAGCAGUGAGGAAUAUUGGUCAAUGGUCGGGAGCCUGAACCAGCCAAGCCGCGUGAGGGAUGAAGGUACAGAGUAUCGUAAACCUCUUUUGUCAGGGAACAAAGUCGGGUACGUGUCCCCGGAUGAGUGUACCUGAAGAAAAAGCAUCGGCUAACUCCGUGCCAGCAGCCGCGGUAAUACGGAGGAUGCGAGCGUUAUCCGGAUUUAUUGGGUUUAAAGGGUGCGCAGGCGGUCUGUUAAGUCAGCGGUCAAAGCCCGGGGCUCAACCCCGGCCCCGCCGUUGAAACUGGCAGCCUCGAGUUGGAGAGAAGUAGGCGGAAUGCGCGGUGUAGCGGUGAAAUGCUUAGAUAUCGCGCAGAACUCCGAUUGCGAAGGCAGCAUGCCGGAUCCACACUGACGCUGAGGCACGAAAGCGUGGGUAUCGAACAGGAUUAGAUACCCGGGUAGUC
rnacentral:rRNA from 1 species